UUAAUGCGUAACAGCGAUCAAGGCUGGUUCAAUAUGAAGUUAACUAAAGAGGAUUAAUCAAUGUAUAAAUGAUCUGCAUAAAUGCAUGCUUGUUUGGGGGAAAAAUGGACAAGGAGGUGUGGAAAUUAAACUUCUGCAUCAGAGAAGCUUGACAAUGACCAGUAAUUACUUCUUGACCAUCGAUUUACAAUAUUGUGGAUUAUUCAGUAUACCAUGCUAAAUGUUUGUCCCAGGCUUGUGACCAGUGUUUUUCUGCUGCUGAUGCUGAUAUCUUCAGUCACAUGCAAGUGCAAAGGGAAGAAGUGCAAGAUUGGUGUCAUCCUAGAGAAUUAUAAAGCAGUCAUGUUUGAUGAAUUAAGAAGCUUAAAAAAUAUCACAGGGAUUUCUGAAAACAAUGAAAUGCUGAAACACCCAAAAAUGUUUAGUUGUCGAUCUAAUAAGGUACAA